GCAAAGCGGUGAAAGAUGGCCUCGCGUCCCAUUAGCUAGUUGGUAAGGUAACGGCUUACCAAGGCUGCGAUGGGUAACCGGCCUGAGAGGGUGAACGGUCACACUGGAACUGAGACACGGUCCAGACUCCUACGGGAGGCAGCAGUGGGGAAUAUUGCGCAAUGGGGGAAACCCUGACGCAGCAACGCCGCGUGAGUGAUGAAGGUUUUCGGAUCGUAAAACUCUGUCAUUAGGGACGAUAAUGACGGUACCUAAUGAGGAAGCCACGGCUAACUAC
rnacentral:rRNA from 1 species